rnacentral:rRNA from 1 species
CGACGUAGGAUGCAAGCGUUAUCCGGAAUCAUGGGGCGUAAAGAGUCCGUAGGUGGUAUGUUAAGUUGGAUGUUAAAUUUUUGAGCUCAACUCAAAAAAUGUGUCCAAAACUGGCAAACUGGAGACAGGUAGAGGCAAGUGGAAUUCUGCAUGUAGGGGUAAUAUCCGUAGAUAUGCAGAGGAACACCAAAAGCGAAGGCAGCUUGCUGGACCUGUUCUGACACUAAAGGACGAAAGCGUGGGGAGCAAACGGGAUUAGAAACCCUAGUAGUCC